GAUCCCGGUUACUCACUCAACCUGGGUGUGAUGUGUGCACUCGUGCUCGGCCCAUCACAACCUCCUUGAGUGAGCGAUUGUGGUA
rfam:Operophtera brumata OBRT01_Sc00150, whole genome shotgun sequence.